rnacentral:lncRNA from 1 species
GAAAAUAUCCACAAAUUUAGCACGACAUUUGCAAUGUAUUGUUUGUUUGUUCUAUUUGGACUUGUUUUGGUUUAUUGUUAUGCUGGUAUGGUUACAUUUUGUGGUUGUUUAUUUUUCUAUAAAUAAUACACACAAUUUAUUCAGAAAUAUUGCGAUUUGUAUUUAUCUUCUCCGAUGAUUAUUACACAACUAACAAAUAUAUAUAUUUACCAAUACAUUUGGUAAAGGAUAAUCGCUAGUCAGUUAAAAAUAUUAUUUAUUUCAGAAUUAUAUAAUGUUUAAAGUCGUUACGAUGUCAUAAAUCGUGUUUUUACAUAAUGGAUGUCGCAAGUAUAUUUUAUGAAAUGUAUGGGAAGAACUUGGUUUAAUUGGAUAAGUGGGAAAAUGUAACAGAAAUAUUUGGAAUUGCUAAGUAUUUUACGAGUGAUUUUAUUGAUAUAUAUAUUUGUAAAAUAAAUUAGAUAUAUGUUGGGAAAUAACGGUGAUUCCUUGGACAAAUUUCAUUUGCAUAACAUAGAAAUAAAUCAACAGAUACAUGUAUUAGACAAACCAACCUGAAUACGAUGUAUAGCAAUAUAUAUAUAUAUGCAUCAAAGCUUGCAAUAUAUUUUUUUUUACCACCGGUUGGUUAGUCUUUCCUUUUUACCAUCACUAUUUUAACUUCUGCAUCCAGGGUUUGUUUAGGUAAAACGUUUUUUAUUUUAUUUUUACAGAUGAAUGCAGUUAUCCAUACCGAAGAGUUGGUAAAGGAUGUUAUCUUAUACAAAAAGAUAAAGUAGACGGUGAUGCUGCUUUUGUAAGUUAUUUAUAGAAAUAUUCAUAUUGUACAAACUCAUCAAAUUAAUGCAAAGGGUUGAAAUAGUGACAUCGAAAAUUUGAUGAAGAUGGGUUUCUGCUAAGCGAGGUGUAUCAUAUUAUUACUAGCUAUCAAUUGAUUGUUGAUCACACGCGCUAAUUUGAUUUACUUGGUUUUAGUCAAUUACCGUGGUGACAGCGUGUUUUUACCUUACAAAAACGCCGUCUUUCGAAAAAAAUAAAAUGGGGUUAUUCUAAUUACAACUCUUGAGUGAUCGAGUGUGACUACUAAAACAUGAACCAAAAGUAAUGUGAAAUGUGAAAAAAUCAUUAAGAAUUAAUGGAUAGUCAAAGGACACACACGUAAAACCUGUCUUACCCUAAUAUUUUGUUUGCCCAUACCAAGUCAGAAGUUAUGCUGUCUUGACCAAUUGGUACUCGUUGUCGAUACAUUGUUUGUAUGAUUGUUUUUGUAUAAGAGCAGUCGGAGUUUGGUGUUUGAUGAGGUCUUACACCUACAACUCACAUGUUUGUCUGUGUGGAAACAUGUUACUGUCUUCCAGAGUAUAUACAUAUGUUAUCAAAGGUACCAGGCUUAUUAUUUAAUACGCCAGACGAGCUUUUCGUCUACAUAAGUCUCAUCAGUGACGCUGAGAUCAAAAUAGUAAGAAAGCAAAACAAGUACAAAGUUGAGGAGCAUAUACAGUUAUUGCACUUUUGUUUUAUAAUUAAAAUAAUUUCUAUGUAUAGUAUUUACUGUUUUUGACGUUUUUUAUACUUUCAGGCAAAAUGCCUACGACGAGGUGCAUACCUGGCAAACUUUGAAACUCUAAAUGAAGCUAUGUUGAUGAAGUACGAACUUCUAAAAAUGAACACAGGUAAUUUUUUUUUAUAACUUGUUUUAGACGUGAAAUCAGUAUCUUUCUAGCAUAUUAAUCUAUUGCAAUAAAAAAUCAUAAUAUCUAAUAAAAUUUGUAGUUUAGUAACAAAUCCUUAUAUUUGUAGAAAGUAACAUUCGUUUAUAGUGGAAAAUUGUUUAACGUUGAAAAGUUACAAUUAAAAUUCCUUGCUUGGUCCCUCUGUGUAUUACCAUUAUAUUACGUGGUUCAUUUCCCAAUCAAUCUGUCACCAAGGGAAGAGAAAUAAAUCUGAUUUCGUUCAGAGUCUUUUUCAAAAAUGAUAACGGUUCUUUAUAUGGUAUGUAUAGUCAUUUUACGAUUUCAUAUUAGGAAAUUAUAUUCUACAUCAAUGUUGUUGUACACAAUACAAAACACUGACAUUAUUGAAUGAUACAUUUUGAAAUUAUUUAAAUUAUAUCAGAAACCUAAACUUAAUUAAAAUAAUGAACCUGUUAAGGGAGAGAAUACUCGCAUAACUUUUUCGAAUUGGCACAUAAUACAACGAAUGUCCUUUGCAUACAAAUGGCACAUCAAUAUAAUUAAUUAUCUGCGAAACUCGUCCCCCACCUUCAAUGAUGUUCUAAAUUAUAAAUAUAACAAAAAGUUGUAAUCUAUAGAUAGUUAAGACAAAUGAAAGCUAACCCAAUGUAAAAAUAUUUCUUUGCAAUUUUUUAAAACUUCCUCAGAAAAUACUCGAGCCACUUGACUUUCAUAGCUCAAAAUCAACGUUUUACACAAUAUGAAUAAAGUAGUGAGAUUAUUCGCUUCUCAAAUGUAAGACGCAAGUAAAAAUCGUAUGUUGCACAUCCUACCGAAUACGAAUUUAAUAGCUGAACAUUCGACUUUCUUCGUAUAUUUCGAACAAAACCGGUUUUUAACCAAAAUCACAAGUACGUGUUAAGAUUCGAUAAAUACCUUUUCCUAUAUGGAGGUAAAGUUGCUAAUCUUUCGAGACACACUUUAAACUGUACAAGAACUAUGGUAGGUAUAGGUAAAGAACCAUAAAUUAUGUACAGUCCAAAAGAACAAACACGAAGGUAAAAAAAAUCUUAACAAAAUCGUUCCUACGCUAUAUUGUAACGUCAUAAACAAGUUUAAAUAUUUGUGAAAUUUUUAUUAAAACAAUUAAUGCUUGAAAACGUAAGAACAUUUGAUGGAAGUGUUUUUGAAAAAAAUUACUACAGGAAAAGUUCUUCAACAAUUCUUAAUUGAUUUUAGUUGAGAUGUUUUAAGAAUAUUAAUACGAAAUUGGCACAUUUUCAGAGAAUGACAAGCUUGUUCGUCAAACAUUAGCUUUCAGGUACAAAGCAUAUCCCACAGUAUGUACUUCCUGUACAAUUUAGUUUUAUUUCUAUUUCCAAGGUGUGCAUUAUUAUGUCGGUGGACGCAACAUCAAUAGGUACAAGACCGGUGGUGAUUGGAGAUGGAUCAAGAAGGACGGAGAAAUGGUCAAGAUGAAGUACUUUGCAUUUGAUAAUGGAGAACCAAAUGGAACAUUACAGAGUGCACAAGAUUGUAUGUUCUUCUAUGCUUCUAGAGGAUAUAGGUUCCAUAAUGUCCAUUGCGCACUGAGUGGUUAUCUUGGAGGUUAUAUUUGCGAGAAAUAAAUAAUGAU